rnacentral:rRNA from 1 species
CGUCCAGACUCCUACGGGAGGCAGCAGUGGGGAAUAUUGCACAAUGGGCGCAAGCCUGAUGCAGCGACGCCGCGUGCGGGAUGGAGGCCUUCGGGUUGUAAACCGCUUUUGUUCAAGGGCAAGGCACGGUCUUUGGCCGUGUUGAGUGGAUUGUUCGAAUAAGCACCGGCUAACUACGUGCCAGCAGCCGCGGUAAUACGUAGGGUGCAAGCGUUAUCCGGAUUUAUUGGGUUUAAAGGGUGCGCAGGCGGCACGGCAAGCCGGCGGUCAAAUCGCGGGGCUCAACCCCGCCCAGCCGUCGGAACUGCCGGGCUAGAGUGGGCGAGAAGUGCGCGGAAUGCGUGGUGUAGCGGUGAAAUGCAUAGAUAUCACGCAGAACCCCGAUUGCGAAGGCAGCAUGCCGGCUCCACACUGACGCUGAGGCACGAAAGCGUGGGUAUCGAACAGGAUUAGAUACCCGGGUA